AUGCGUAUGUUGAGAUGGAUGUGUGGCCACACGAGGAAGGAUCGAGUCCGGAAUGAUGAUAUACGAGAUAGAGUUGGGGUAGCACCAAUUGAGGAGAAGCUUGUCCAACAUCGUUUGAGAUGGUUUGGGCAUAUUCAGCGCAGGCCUCCAGAAGCUCCAGUGCAUAGCGGACGACUAAAGCGUGCGGAGAAUGUCAAGAGAGGGCGGGGUCGACCGAUUUUGACAUGGGAGGAGUCCAUUAAGAGAGACCUGAAGGAUUGGAGUAUCGACAAAGAGCUAGCUAUGGACAAGGGUGCGUGGAAGCUUGCUAUCCAUGUGCCAGAGCCAUGA
rnacentral:rRNA from 1 species